rfam:Cavia porcellus supercont2_21 genomic scaffold, whole genome shotgun sequence.
GGGGAUUUAGCUCAGCGGCAUAAGCGCCUGCCUUGCAAGCAGGAAGUCAUGAGUUUGAUCCCUGGUACCCA